GAUGAACGCUGGCGGCGUGCCUAAUACAUGCAAGUCGAGCGAACAGACGAAGAGCUUGCUCCGCUGAAGUUAGCGACGGAUGGGUGAGUAACACGUGAAUAACCUACAUAUAAGACUGGGAUAACGUAGAGAAACCGGAGCUAAGACCGGAUAAUAUAUUGAACCGGAGGGUUCAAUAAUGAAAGACGGGUUUGCGGUCAAUUAGAGAUGGAUCAGCGCCGCAUUAGCUAGUUGGUAAGGUAACGGGUUACCAAGGCAACGAUGCGUAGCCGACCUGAGAGGGUGAUCGGCCACACUGGAACUGAGACACGCUCCAGACUCCUACGGGAGGCAGCAGUAGGGAAUCUUCCGCAAUGGGCGAAAGCCUUACGGAGCAACGCCGCGUGAGUGAUGAAGGUCUUCGGAUCGUAAAUCUCUGUUAUUAGGGAAGAACAAAUGUGUAAGUAACUAUGCGCGUCUUGACGGUACCUAAUCAGAGAGCCACGGCUAACUACGUG
rnacentral:rRNA from 1 species